AUCAAAACAUAAACCUUAAAAACUCUGCAUUCCUAUCCUAUUUUUUGAUUCAACCUCCUCCUCAUCACCUGAGAUUUGAGGAUCUUCACUAUAUGAUGAUAACUUGAGGGCUUCAAAGCAUCCACAUCAUCAUCUUUCCCUUCUCUUCUAAUUUUCACUAUUAUUUUUCAUGCUUUCUUUGUUAGAAACAUGUCAGGGUUCUGCGGUUUCUAUAUAUGAUUGUUAUUUCUUUUAAUGUUAUAUGUAUUAGAGUUAGAUUUCUUGCAUGAUUUACAUGUUUUUAUGAUAUGCAUAUUUCUUGGAUUUUGAAUUUCAUAACUUUCAUAUUUUUAGGUUUUGAAUAUGAUAAUAUGAACAUGUAAGGUUUUGAAUAUGAUAAUAUGAUUUAUAAGAUAUUAAAUAUGAUUAGUGAAUGAGUAGGUAAACAUAAUUGAUUUAUAUUUUUAUGCAAUUAAAUUAGAUUUUAGGAUUAUAAACUUGAAAUUUAGAAUCUGUCUUAAAAUAUUAUAUUUGCCUACUAUCUGUUAUAAUAUUUUUGUAUUAUUCUUUAGCUUUUCUAGUUAAAUUUAAUAUUUUUUAUGCUUCUUUUUUCAUUUUACAUAUUUUGAUUGAUUUUCUAUCUUAUAUGCAUGUGAAAUCGGCUCCUGUGUGUGAAAAAUUAAAGGAAAAAUCACAGAAAGACUGUCUGAAGGCCCAGAUCCAAUCAGCUCUAUGCCUUAAGCCGAUCAGCUUUGCACAUCUUGUCCCCGCUUUUUAAAAUUUUAAUGUAUUUGGGCGAUUUCGUGUAAUGUACUUAGUUUUAGGCAUUUUUCUUUCAAUUUUUAGUUGUAGGAGGGUUAUAAUAGCUAAAUU
rnacentral:lncRNA from 1 species